GUACAGUAUGCAGUAGGCCCUUUGUAUCCAAGGAUUCAACCAACUGUGGAUGGAAAAUAUUUUUUAAAAACCCAAUAAAAACAAUAUAACAAUAAAAACUAAUGUAAAUAAAACAAUAUAGUAUUAACUAUUUACAUAGUAUUUACAUUGUAUUAGGUGUUGAAAGUAAUAUAAAGAGGAUUUAAAGUAUAUGGAAGGAUAUGUAUAAGUUAUGUGCAAAUACUGCACCAUUUUAUAUCAGCGAUUUGAGCAUCUGUGGAUUUGAUAUCUAUGGGGGUCCUGGAACCAAGCCCCCAUAGAUACGGAAGGACAAUUCUAUCACUCAGAGAUUCUGAAUUCUGGACUUUGAGCUCAAUGCCAUGACUGAGGAAGACCACGGGGUUUUCUCUCUUAGAGGGGAGUGAACCCAGAGCUUUGAGUUGAGAUAGGGGUGCCAUAAGAUUGAAGUACUCUGAAAAACAGAGCUUAAAGGCUUUUAACAGGGCUCAGUAAACACUUAAGGAAGUUGCCGUGCACUGCAGCCUGCCGGAGACAUGAAGGAAUGUACGGGAGGAUAAUCGCAACAUCAUCAACCCAAUUCUCCAAGUAAUUUGCCAUGGGACAGGCACACCCCAUGUGUUUGGGAAGACAAUGGGAAGGUUCUGUUUUCUGCUCCAAGACUGAUUCAACCAGUUGGAUCUGGAAGGGGAUAAAGGGCUGUGUGGCUGCUUGAUUUUCAUUGUCUAGUGGCAGCCAAAAUUGGAAAAGAGAGAAGUGCAGACUUUAAAGACAAGCAGCGACAGCUCAUCAGCAGUCUAACAACACGACAGAUGACAGGCCCAGA
rnacentral:lncRNA from 1 species